CAGAGACCAUACCGGAGUUGAGAAGCAGUAGCCAAACGAAGUCAUUGCUAAAUUUAGCUUGCUGUUGGAUUUAAGCAACAUAUAUAUCAUUAUCUGUAGACUAUAUAUAUCCUGCUAUAAAUUUUCCGUGUACCUACACACUUGUGUACUAAAAACUGUCAGAGUGUCGAGUCUGUCAACUUUAGUCGUCACAGUGACAUGUAUAGUUGCUACUACUCUCUAGCCAAGACUAGGUCGAUAUGGUAUGAAUAGUUCAAAUAUAAUCAAUAAUUUAGUCCAUAAUGUCAUCAACAGGCCACAGCUUGAAUUAUUGUAAUAACUUAAUUUGAUAAUUAUAUACAAAUCAUUACAAAUAUUACCCUAUGUUACUAUCAACUGACUAUGGAUUUAAGAAUUAAUAAAUAUAUAUAUAUAUCUAUAUAUAUAUAUACUAAUUUUGAAUUAAUUUUUUUUUUAAUUGUGGUUACUAUCAUCGACACAACUAUGAGUAUACUUAAUAAAUUUAUUGGUAUUGUUUCUUCUUUGUACAGUCAUUUGAUUUUGUUAUGUCAAUGCUAUGUAGCACGGUGGAACUAAUAUUUACUUUUUCUUGAGUUGCAGAAUAAUGUUGGGAAGAUCAGUUAGAAAGUGAAAAUUGUGACCUUGCUCGGCCACAGAACACUGCCAAGGGUUGUAACAGUUGGACCAGAGACAUAGACAACAAUGACCCACCAGUUUUUACAGAUGGUCACCAGACUGGACUGGAUUCACGACUCAUCAGGCAGCUAACUCAAC
rnacentral:lncRNA from 1 species